GACGAACGCUGGCGGCGUGCUUAACACAUGCAAGUCGAACGGAAAGGCCCCUUUCGGGGGGUACUCGAGUGGCGAACGGGUGAGUAACACAUGAGUAACCUGCCCUCUACUUUGGGGUAACUUCAGGAAACUGUGGCGAAUACAGGAUAGGAGCUCCUGCGGCACGUUGGGGGUUGUGGAGUUUUGGCGGGUGGGGGUGGAGUCGCGGCUUUUCUGCGUGUUGGGGGGGUAGUGGGUUAUCAAGGCUUUGAAGGGUAGGCGGGCCGGGAGGGUGGCCGGGCAAAUUGGGACUGAGAUUCGGCCCAGAAUCCCAACGGGGGGAGGAGUGGGGAAUAUUGCACAAUGGGUGGAAGGCUGAUGCAGCAAAGGCGUGGGGGGGAUGACGGGCCUUGGGUUGGAAACCGCUUUCGCUCAUGACGAAGCUGUGUGUGACGGUAGUGGGUAAAGAAGCACCGGCUAACUACGUG
rnacentral:rRNA from 1 species